GUGAGAUUGACCAAAUGGUACUCUCCUUAUUCACAGAAAGAAAGAUCCAAGGUGAUUCGAGAGCUUAGCGGAGAAAUUCUCACACGUGGCCCAAAGCUCUGCAAUUUCGUUGAAUGGAGAGGCUUCAAAGUUGUAUACAGAAGGUAUGCCAGCCUUUACUUCUGCAUGUGUAUCGACGCAAGUGACAAUGAACUGGAGGUCCUUGAGAUUAUACAUCAUCUAGUUGAGAUAUUAGACCGUUACUUUGGCAGCGUCUGUGAGCUCGAUCUGAUUUUCAAUUUUCACAAGGCAUAC
rnacentral:misc_RNA from 1 species